AGCAGCCGCGGUAAUUCCAGCUCCAAUAGCGUAUAUUAAAGUUGUUGCAGUUAAAAAGCUCGUAGUUGAAUUUCGGGGGUUAGUAGGCUGGUCGUGCCACAGGUAUGUACUGGUCUUACUGAUUCCUCCUUCCUGAUGAACCGUAAUGCCAUUAAUUUGGUGUUGCGGGGAAACUGGACUGUUACUUUGAAAAAAUUAGAGUGUUUAAAGCAGGCUAACGCUUGAAUACAUUAGCAUGGAAUAACGAAAUAGGACGAUCGAUCUUAUUUUGUUGGUUUCUAGGAUUGACGUAAUGAUUAAUAGGGAUAGUUGGGGGCAUUAGUAUUCAAUUGUCAGAGGUGAAAUUCUUGGAUUUAUUGAAGACUAACUACUGCGAAAGCAUUUGCCAAGGAUGUUUUCAUUAAUCAAGAACGAAAGUUAGGGGAUCGAAGACGAUCAGAUAUCGUCGUA
rnacentral:rRNA from 1 species